CAGUGCCAGCACGGGCAGGCGGCCGUCUGCCCCCACCAGCCCUGGCCCAGGCGCCCCCCAGCCCCCUUCACCCCGCCCGCCCAGCACCCUGCAGGGCUGCGUCGCCCCUCCUCGGGGACGCCCCUUCCACGCCUCCAGAAGUCUCCACGGAGCCCCCCUUCCCCUUUCUUUGUCACUUUUAAUCCCAUUCCUCGAACUGGAGGGUUUUGGGUGCAGGCGCUCCCGGGGAAAGCAGUUUGUGCUCAGUGCGGUGAGUCCCCUCCUCACCGCCCCGGAGGCUCCAGCCCGAGCCUCUCCGCCCGCGGGGACUCGAGCCUGCAGCUUGCUCGGCUGGGUUUCUGCCCUGCCCGCUCCCUAGCUCUGCUGCAGGGCCGGCAGCGGCAGUUCUGCCUGAAACGCAAGAAUUAAUAGUCUGCUCUGGGGAGACAGUGGGGAAGCCGUGAGCGACCGGGCCUUUUCCAGAGGCCACUAUUUACCUUGAAGUUUCCUGUUGACCCUCUGCUGACCCACCCGCUUAAAUAGAUUAGAACUUAAACAUCGCAAUUCUGAUACAUUUAUUUCUUUGAAGUUCUGCAGCAUAAGGAAUCCUAACGCGAAUCCGUGAACAGUCUAUUCCGACGGCGCAGAGAAAUCUCACGCGGGGAUCCCCACGAUGUGCCGGCGCUUAACGCAGACGCCCGAACCCAGGGGAAGGCUGCGACUCCGCGAUGAGUGACAUGCGGGCUUGAGACGUUCUAAAGGAACGUGGACCGAGUUAGGGAACGUAACUGAAGCUCAUUUUGUCUUAGUUAUGGACUAUGAGUCCUUAAUAAAUGUAUGUCAUUAUGUUUAAAGAAUGACAAAUUGUUUCCAAGACACGUGAAAGCAAUCAAGCUCCCCUGGGUUGGCGCAGAACUUGAGCACUUAAGAGCUGGAAGAGCUGGCGAUCGACCAUCCAUCCCACUCCACCUCCAAUCUUAAAACAAGGAAACAAGACACGAGGUUCGUCCGCUUGCCACACUCCCUGCGCUUUGCAGCACCGCAGCUGCCCCAGCAUAGUGCAGUUUCUCCUAGGAAACAUUGCCCUUCCUCUCCUCUCCCAGCCCUGGACCACCACUUUCCACCACCUGUCCCAGCAAAUCAGUGCAGUGGUGUUAGCCCCAUCUUACUCCAGGACAUUGACCCAGGGCCAAAGUCACUUGCCCAAGGCGGCAGAGAAAGCUCAAGGCAGACCCAGAAAUAGUCUAGGUUUCCCUCCUUCCACUCAGCCAUGGGAAAGGCUCCUCCUACUGCUGUUUGGCUGCAGCACUAGACAUUUCUAGCCAGUAAUUAAGUUUGUGACAACGAUGACAACAACUGUUGAUGUGGGUUUUUUGCUUCUUACAUAGAUACUUGGAUCCACAACAACAAUUACUGAUAAUUAUAGGUGUUGUUUCUGUUUUCAUGCAUUGGGA
rnacentral:lncRNA from 1 species